rnacentral:rRNA from 1 species
UGGGGAAUUUUGGACAAUGGGCGAAAGCCUGAUCCAGCAAUGCCGCGUGUGUGAAGAAGGCCUUCGGGUUGUAAAGCACUUUUGUCCGGAAAGAAAUGGCUCUGGUUAAUACCUGGGGUCGAUGACGGUACCGGAAGAAUAAGGACCGGCUAACUACGUGCCAGCAGCCGCGGUAAUACGUAGGGUCCAAGCGUUAAUCGGAAUUACUGGGCGUAAAGCGUGCGCAGGCGGUUGUGCAAGACCGAUGUGAAAUCCCCGAGCUUAACUUGGGAAUUGCAUUGGUGACUGCACGGCUAGAGUGUGUCAGAGGGGGGUAGAAUUCCACGUGUAGCAGUGAAAUGCGUAGAGAUGUGGAGGAAUACCGAUGGCGAAGGCAGCCCCCUGGGAUAACACUGACGCUCAUGCACGAAAGCGUGGGGAGCAAACAGGAUUAGAUACCCCUGGUAGUCCACGCCCUAAACGAUGUCAACUAGUUGUUGGGGGAUUCAUUUUCCUUAGUAACGUAGCUAACGCGUUAAAUCGACCGCCUGGGGAGUACGGCCGCAAGGUUAAAACUCAAAUGAA